rnacentral:tRNA from 2 species
GCCCACGUGGUGGAAUUGGUAGACACGCCAUCUUGAGGGGGUGGUGCCAUCAGGUGUGCUGGUUCGAAUCCAGUCGUGGGCA